GCCAUCGUUUAAAGAAAGCGUAAUAGCUCACUGGUCUAAUGGCUCUGCGCCGAAAAUGUAACGGGGCUAAGCAUGGUACCGAAGCUUUGGCAAUCCCCUUUGGGGAUUGGGUAGGGGAGCGUUCGCUGCGGGCUGAAGGUGUGCCGGAAGGCAUGCUGGACUGCAGUGAAGUGAUUAUGCUGACAUGAGUAACGAUAAAAUAUGUGAAAAACAUAUUCGCCGAAAACCCGAGGUUUCCUGGGUAAAGGUAAUCUUCCCAGGGUUAGUCGGAUCCUAAGGUGAGGGUGAAAGCCGUAACCGAUGGAAAACAGGUUAAUAUUCCUGUACUUGUUGUGUAGCGCGAUGGAGGGACGCAGGAAGAUAGGCGGGCCGGGUGUUGGAUAUCCCGGUGCAAGCGUGUAGGAAUAUCCGGUAGGCAAAUCCGCCGGACGAAUCUGAGACGCGAGUCCGUGGGCGCAAGCCCUGAAGCCGUUGAGUCUAUGCUGCCUAGAAAAGCUCCUAAGUUUAUCCACAGCAAUCCGUACCGCAAACCAACUCAGGUGGGUGGGAUGAACAAUCCAAGGCGCUCGAGAGAUUCACUCUGGCCAAGGAACUCGGCAAAAUAACCCCGUAACUUCGGAAGAAGGGGUGCUCUCUAGGGUGACAUGUUUAACAUAUGAAGCCCCGGGGAGCCGCAGUGAAUUGGUGGUGGCGACUGUUUACUAAAAACAUAGGUCUGUGCGAAGUCCUAAAGACGACGUAUACGGACUGACGCCUGCCCGGUGCUGGAAGGUUAAAAGGAGGGGUCAGCGCAAGCAAAGCUCCGAAUUGAAGCCCCAGUAAACGGCGGCCGUAACUAUAACGGUCCUAAGGUAGCGAAAUUCCUUGUCGGGUAAGUUCCGACCUGCACGAAUGGCGUAACGAUCUCCACACUGUCUCGGCCAGAGACUCGGUGAAAUUGCAGUCGCGGUGAAAAUUCCGUGUACCCGCAGAAAGACGGAAAGACCCUGUGCACCUUUACUAUAGCUUGACAUUGGAUUUUGGGCCUGCAUGUGUAGGAUAGGUGGGAGGCUGUGAACCCUGUACGCCAGUAUGGGGGGAGCCAUCCUUGAAAUACCACCCUUGCAUGUUUAAGAUCCUAACUUCUUCCGGUUAUCCCGGAGAAAGACAGUGUCUGGCGGGUAGUUUGACUGGGGCGGUCGCCUCCUAAAGUGUAACGGAGGCAUGCAAAGGUUCCCUCAGCCUGAUCGGAAACCAGGCGCUGAGUGCAAACGCAUAAGGGAGCUUGACUGUAAGAGAGACAUCUCGAACAGGAACGAAAGUUGGCGUUAGUGAUCCGGUGGUCCCGAAUGGAAGGGCCAUCGCUCAUUGGAUAAAAGGUACGCCGGGGAUAACAGGCUGAUCGCAUCCAAGAGUUCACAUCGACGAUGCGGUUUGGCACCUCGAUGUCGGCUCAUCACAUCCUGGGGCUGAAGCAGGUCCCAAGGGUACGGCUGUUCGCCGUUUAAAGUGGUACGCGAGCUGGGUUUAAAACGUCGUGAGACAGUUUGGUCCCUAUCUUCUGUGGGCGAAGGAGAAUUGAGAGGGCCUGUCCCUAGUACGAGAGGACCGGGAUGGACGCACCCCUGGUGAUCCUGUUGUCGCGCCAGCGGCAUAGCAGGGUAGCUAUGUGCGGAAGGGAUAACCGCUGAAAGCAUCUAAGCGGGAAGCCUGCCUCAAGAUAAGUUCUCCCCUCGAAAGAGCUGAAGGGCCCGGGUAGACUACCCGGUCGAUAGGCUGGAGGUGUAAGCGCGGCGACGUGCUCAGCUGACCAGUACUAAUAGCCCGAGCGGCUUAUUUUU
rnacentral:rRNA from 1 species